GACGAACGCUGGCGGCGUGCUUAACACAUGCAAGUCGAACGGAAAGGCCCUGCUUUUGUGGGGUGCUCGAGUGGCGAACGGGUGAGUAACACGUGAGUAACCUGCCCUUGACUUUGGGAUAACUUCAGGAAACUGGGGCUAAUACCGGAUAGGAGCUCCUGCUGCAUGGUGGGGGUUGGAAAGUUUCGGCGGUUGGGGAUGGACUCGCGGCUUAUCAGCUUGUUGGUGGGGUAGUGGCUUACCAAGGCUUUGACGGGUAGCCGGCCUGAGAGGGUGAACGGCGACAUUGGGACUGAGAGACGGCCCAGAAUCCUACGGGAGGCAGCAGUGGGGAAUAUUGCACAAUGGGCGGAAGCCUGAUGCAGCAACGCCGCGUGCGGGAUGACGGCCUUCGGGUUGUAAACCGCUUUCGACUGUGACGAAGAGUGAGUGACGGUAAUGGGUAAAGAAGCACCGGCUAACUACGUG
rnacentral:rRNA from 1 species